UUAAAUCUAUUCGAAGAUUGGAUUGGACGGCUGAGAUUUUUCCAUGUG
rnacentral:sRNA from 1 species